rnacentral:rRNA from 1 species
UACGUAGGGUGCAAGCGUUGUCCGGAAUUAUUGGGCGUAAAGAGCUCGUAGGCGGUUUGUCGCGUCUGCUGUGAAAACUCGGGGCUCAACUCCGAGCUUGCAGUGGGUACGGGCAGACUAGAGUGCGGUAGGGGAGACUGGAAUUCCUGGUGUAGCGGUGGAAUGCGCAGAUAUCAGGAGGAACACCGGUGGCGAAGGCGGGUCUCUGGGCCGUAACUGACGCUGAGACGCGAAAGCGUGGGGAGCGAACAGG